rnacentral:rRNA from 1 species
CCUACGGGGGGCAGCAGUGGGGAAUUUUGGACAAUGGGCGAAAGCCUGAUCCAGCCAUGCCGCGUGAGUGAAGAAGGCCUUCGGGUUGUAAAGCUCUUUCAGACGGAAAGAAAUCUUCUGGGCUAAUACCCUGGGAGGAUGACGGUACCGUAAGAAGAAGCACCGGCUAACUACGUGCCAGCAGCCGCGGUAAUACGUAGGGUGCGAGCGUUAAUCGGAAUUACUGGGCGUAAAGCGUGCGCAGGCGGUGAUGUAAGACAGAUGUGAAAUCCCCGGGCUCAACCUGGGAACUGCGUUUGUGACUGCAUCACUCGAGUACGGCAGAGGGAGGUGGAAUUCCGCGUGUAGCAGUGAAAUGCGUAGAGAUGCGGAGGAACACCGAUGGCGAAGGCAGCCUCCUGGGCCAGUACUGACGCUCAUGCACGAAAGCGUGGGGAGCAAACAGGAUUAGAUACCCGAGUAGUC